AGCUGACCUAAAUCCGGGGAGGGACCCCAAAAACACAGAGCUGACCCUAAAUCCCGGGAGGGACCCCAAAAACACGGAGCUGACCCUGAAUCCCGGGCAGGGACCCCAAAAACCCAGAGCUGACCCUGAAUCCCGGGGAGGGACCCAAAAACCAGAGCUGACCCUAAAUCCCGGGCGGUGGGUUGGAGUCUAUAGAGGGACCCCAAAAACACAGAGCUGACCCUGAAUCCCGGGGAGGGACCCCAAAAACACACAGCUGACCCUAAAUCCCGGGGCGGGACCCCAAAAACACAGAGCUGACCCUGAAUCCCAGGGUGGGACCCCAAAACCACAGAGCUGACCCUGAAUCCCGGGGAGGGACCCCAAAAACACAGAGCUGACCCUAAAUCCCGGGCAGGGACCCCAAAAACACACAGCUGACCCUAAAUCCCGGGGAGGGACCCAAAAACACAGAGCUGACCCUGAAUCCCGGGGCGGUGGGUUGGAAUCUAUAGAGGGACCCCAAAACCACAGAGCUGACCCUAAAUCCGGGGAGGACCCCAAAAACACAGAGCUGACCCUGAAUCCCGGGGCGGUGGGUUGGAAUCCAUAGAGGGACCCCAAAAACACAGAGCUGACCCUAAAUCCCGGGGCGGUGGGUUGGAGUCUAGAGAGGGGCCCCAAAACUCCUGGGGUGACCCUAAAUCCCUGGAUCUAUAGAGGGGCCCCAAAACUCCUGGGGUGACCCUAAAUCCUCAUGGGAGGGGUUGGAAUCUAUAGAGGGACCCCAAAGCCAUGGGGUGACCCUAAAUCCCACUGGAAUCUAUAGGGGGCCCCAAAACUCCUGGGGUGACCUUAAAUCCUCAUGGGAGGGGGUUGGAAUCUAUAGGGGGCCCCAAAACUCCUGGGGUGACCCUAAAAUCCUCAUGGGAGGGGGUUGGAAUCUAUAGAGGGGCCCCAAAACUCCUGGGUGACCCUAAAUCCCACUGGAAUCUAUAGGGGAGCCCCAAAACUCCUGGGUGACCCUAAAUCCUCGUGGGAGGGGGCUGGAGCCUCUGUUCCAGGCUGUUCUCCCCCCAUCGAGGGGUGUUCCCACCUCCGCCCCAUAGCGUUCCCACCUCCGCCCCAUAGCGUUCCCCCCAUCCCUGGCUGUUCCCCAAUCCUGGGGUGUCCCCUCCCCUAUUCCAGUGUGU